CUGAGUAAAAGUUUGGGAUUUAGGGCCGGUUACCGGAACAUUCUAUCUAAAAGCUUUUCAGUCCCCACUGGCAUUGUAUGAUGAACUGAGGACACAAAGGUAAAGGGAACGCAGUCCUUGCCCUUGAGCAGCACAGGAUCUUCCGACAGGAGAUGGACAUCCACACAACGAUUAAAUUUGGUAGGAAGGUUUGAAAGAAGAUCAGAGAAGGGACUCAAAAGGACAAUGGAUCCAAGAAAUCAAAUUUCCCGUCAUCUGGCUGUGUUAGUGUUUUGUUAAAAGGAAAUAUCAGUGAUGUUUUGCAGAAGAUAAGCAAGAAAUGAUGGAAGGAGAGAAGCUGUGUUACCUGGCCUGGAGAUCCUUCCUGCACUGCCACCUUUACUGCUCCCGAUGCUGUCACCCCGGGUGAGGAUAGAGAUUCCACUGAAGCUGCUGGCUUUGGUGACAGGGGGCCGCAUGCUCCGGACAGAGCCAUCAGAGUCCGUGCUGCUCCAAGGCCGUGGCUCCAGGGAUUUGAGUUCGCUGUCUGUGCUGCUCUGGCGGCUGCUUGAGGUGCGGCUCAGCCCCUCACGGUUCCCCCUGCAUGCAGAGAUCGCAGUUGUCAGAGCACCCCUCACCUACCACUUCAGCAGAAGGGCUACGAGAGAGUUCAUUUCUAUUCUCUCAGUGACAAAGGAGGGGUGAGGGUUGGGGGAGGAUGGACACUAACUUCUUGUUAGUUGGCUGGCCAACCAAGACUUGAUGGGAGCAGACACAACAAGAUCCAGUACAGUAACAAAGAGCACAGAGGCAAAUCUGGAAGACAGUGAACUGGCAACUAAUUCAAUACAUCAGACCAGAGGUGGACGGGAAACCACGUACAUGAUGCUGAGAUUGGCUGUGGUCUCUUCCCCUGGCCCUUCAGGGAUCCCACACAUGCAGUAAAUAGUGGGGAGCAGAGGGGUACCAGUUCCUUCUGAGAGUUCUUAAAACAAAAGGACUCCUAGAAGUUACUAUCGCUGGAAGGCAGGAGUAGCCAAUGACAUGGAUAAAUCCUACAAUAGGUCUUCCAUAUAACACAUAUCUGAGCCAGCAGAGGUGCUGCUUACGGUCACUUUUUCAGGAUUGGGAAGAAGAGUAUAGUGGACUAAAGGGGCACUCAGUCUGAUAAAGAGAACUCGGUCUAAGAGUCUGGAAUCAACCCAACCUGUUUUGUGGAAGUUUUGUGUUAGUAUCUGAGAACAAUUGGUUCCAGGGUCUCUAAAGGCUGACAUCCUCAGCAAGAUCAAGCAAACAUGCCCUUAGGAGUCAGGAUGGCAAAGAGCAGGGGGCUGACUGCGCCUAGAUGCUUCCAUAUUAAUAACCCUAUUGCCCUAGGCAAGGCACAAGGCUAUUGAGAAAAGUGAUUCAUCCUCUCUUACUUUACUCUGGAAACAUCAGGGUUAUCCUGAUGCUAAAAUCACUGUUUGUGAUUCUAAACAGCUGUACUCCUCAAGAUAUAUGAGGCUAGCCUGAAAACCCUAAGUCUUGUUGAACUCUUACUGCUUCUUAAUCAAUAAGCACCCAAGAACCAGGAAUUCUCCUUUCAGAUCCCCCACCCUCCAACAACUAAUGACCUAAGAAAACCAAAUGACAAUUAUAAAGAUUUUGGUAUGUAUACUGGGGGGCAACUGAGCAACAAUCAUAGUAGCUUGGGUUCCCUCCUUUCCACCACCAUCCCACCCAAAGCAAAUAGAAAACCCUAUCCCAACCCUGGAAGCUUCCAAGACAUUAGGCUCAGAGUUAUUCUACUAAAGAAAGGUAUUUUUCUUAAGGGACUAAUGUUAAAGAAAAUACCUUUCUUUAUUAGAAUAUCUAUUCCAAAGGUACUGUAGGGAAAAUGGGCAAAAUAUAUGCUAGGAUCACUAUUUUAGUUUUUAGCCAAUCACGGUGGGCUAAGAACACACUGUCAUAGCUGGUUAGGGACAUGCUAAUUCUCUGAAUUCCAAGUAGAUGUAUAUAUAAUCUCAUUGCUUCUCUAUGUAUAGUUAGAAUAGAGAACUGGAAAAUACUUUACCCCUUUCUCUUGGGGAUGUCAAAAGUAGAAUGAGAAACAAGAAAUAAGUAUAAAUCAGGGACUCUCCAGUUGUAGAACCGACCUGAAGUGAGAGCCAAUGGCUCAAGUUUACUGAGCGGACUCAAUAAAGAUGUGUGGGUUUGUGUGAUAUGGGGAUACAGCAGUAGCAAUGAAUGAGGCUGCUCAUUAGACAUUAGAACUUGAAUUUUGCAAGACAAGCCCUAAUGGCCUUUUAUACCUAAAUCAAACAUUUGGACAAUUCUGCCAUUUACUUUCUUCUUCUACCAGGGAUAGACAGGGAAUGAGUCAACUUUAAACCACUCUGGGAAACUUGAGCCAAAGUACUGAUCCAAUUCCCCGAAGACAGUAAUGGCCAAGUGCUCAAAUGUGGAUUGCCUGAUGAUCCUGUGACUUACCUGGGUUAGUACACUACACCCCUGAGAAUUAGAGAAUCUGAGUCUGGGCUAGGAAGAGAGAUCAGUUCUCUUUCUCUUGCUCUACAACUAAACCUAAUCUCUAGUCAUGGUUUUGUACUUCACUAAAAAUAAGGCAAUUAGGGAAAGUUUACCAGAUUUAAUUCUGAGCAGUGGAUUGGGUUGUGUUAUGGAGGUGAAGGACAGAGGACAUUCACACUUCACAGUCCUAUGAAAUCAGGAGCUGACUUUGUUUCUACAAGUGAAUUAAGUGCUGGUGAAAAGUCCCAUUUAUUGGGUCUGGGGUAGACAGGCCUGUGGAAGAGGUGACAAUAAAUAUCAGUAAGCCUCGGUGUGGCUUAUUAGUGGAGUAGAAUCUUCCAAAGAAUAGGGAAGUUGCCAUAGUUACUGCCAAUGUGGAUGAUGGAAUCUGGUGUUAUGAGCGUUUGUUUCACACACCUGGGAAGAAAGGUUUAAAGCAGUUAGAGAAGAUCUGCUUCUAAUCAUUUGAAUUCUGGACUAGUACCCAAAUAGAGGAAGAAGUUACCCCCUUAAGAGUCAAUGGAGCUACAGUUUAGAUGACCUAGAUCUUUAAUCAAAACUCAGUAUGGAAAGCAGCCACUUAAAAGGAGGUCUGCAUAGGAGAGGACUGCACCUGCUCACUAGAUCCUUCAAGCUAUUGUCUGCACAGUUUGAUGUAGUUUGAUGCUCCAUGGCACUAAUAAGGCCAUCAUUCUCAGCAGUGAAUUAAUUAGGGGUGAUGUUUGUAGGGAGCUGGUGUAGUGUGGCGAAAAGAACACGGGACAAAGAGUCAGUCUCAGUUUUGCCAUUAAUAGCCAUGUAAACUUGGGUUAGCUACUUAAUCUCUCUGCUUUUGUUUUCUUACAUGUAAACCAGCUUACCAAAUCAGGAUACUGAGAGAAUUCAAUCAGAUACAGUAUACUUCGGCAACCAUAAAGCACUGUGCAUUGUCACACGCAGGAGUUAAUUUAAAACUUCUGUUUACUAUAGGUAUUCUGGGAUGUUUAUGGAAUAUGAUUGUUUUUUUUUAAGGGGGACUCCACUAUCUAUCUUGACCACCACCAACAAUGCAGAGCCCUUCUGCCUGGGCUUUCAGAUGGACCUCAGGGCAGCCUGCUCCAGGAAAAAGAGUUCAGAGAUGUGGAAAGGGAGAUAAAUCCUCCAUCCCAAGAAGGGGAAAUCUUGCUAUCCCAAUUUCCACAUGAUUUAACUAGCUUUAGAAAGGACAACAGGGAAAGGACUACUAAAGUACUGGGAAUGAGAGCUCUAAUAUGUGUUAGUCAGCUCCUACCAAGCUUAGGAUUGAAAAAGAGAUAAACCCUUUGAAAAGGGUGAGACCUGAAUCCUAGUAUUAAAUACUCAGGUUUUCUGUACUCUAUAGUUUUUCUAUUGGUAACAUGGAAAGAAUAUACUUAAAAUGAGUUAGUGCCAGGAUGCGGUCCUAAAAUGCUUCUCUCACCACUGCCUUGUGUAAUUGUCUGGGGUGGGACUGAGAGACUGAGAGGAAAGGGUGAUUCUCAUGACUGCUUUGUGGAAAAUGGAGAAUAUGAGGCACUGGAGAGGUUAGUAUAGCAGUCUUCACCAACAUUAAGGAUAAACCAUGGACAAUCAUAUAAAAGACAUGCUCUAAGUCCAUUCUAAGGCAGACAAGUUCUUUCUGAGAUCAUCUUACGCAUUACAUUGUCCCAAAGAGAAAACUACAUAGACAGAGGUGUUUGUAUGUUUUUUUAUAUGGAUGUGUGUAUUAUUCUUUCUUAAGGAUACAAAACAUUCCCUAUGCCGGGUCAGGGAUAAACUCUUCACAUCUUUCCAUAGAUUCGGAAAAGGUAGCCAGAAGACACCCGUUCUUUUACCUCAAUAUAUAUAUAUAUGUUGAAAUCCUCCAGAAAUGCCCAAUUCCAGCAAACUUCUGGGAUAGAGCAGUACCUAUCCUAGACAUACUUAUUUGGUCCCCUUCACCACCUAUCCAGGACUUACAAUGAAAUCAGCAACAAUAAAAAUAAAGUCAUUGA